AUGAAUCCCCUCAGCUGUGUGAGAGUCAUUCCUGAACAUGUCCUUGGGGCUGUGAUAUUUCAAGGGGAAAAACAGUUGUGUCAUACACUUCACAAAAUGGCUUUCAAGAAAACAACAGUUCCACUACUUUCCCACUUUCUAAUAUUCACCAGCCCUCUAACACCAAAAUACUGCGGCAGUGAAAUCUCUGAGGAAUACAGAAAAGCUGACAUUUGUAAAUGAGAUUUUUGUGGUUGCUUCUAUGCUAAUAUGCCUGAUAAUCCCAUUGUAUUUUGCAGUAACACAAUAAUACACUGUAAAUAGGUGAAGUGAAAUCACCACUGCUGUGUACAGGCUCAAAAGGGCUUGAUACAGUGCCUGAGUGCAUUGGUGCAGCUACAAUAUUUCGAGCCAACUGGCAUACCAAAUCCUCUAGCUGCCCAACAGAUGUCCAUAGCAUGAGCCAUCUCUACAAGCAGCAAGUAUUCUCUAAUGUAAAGCCAUUCUACCUUCACACAGGAAGCCAAAACACCAAGCUAAGUGAAUUUGAUGUUCAUUCAGUUAACAAGCUUAAAUUGCCCUAUUGAAGUUGUGUUGAUUUAUUGCCAAAAUCAUGCUUCUGCAAUCAUAGGUAAAUAACACUGUAGUAUUUAAGUACAGGUAGACUGAAGUAUCCUUAAUAUUGCCACACUGUUAAUGUAUUGUCUACGAGCAUUUUAUUUGUAACAAUAAAAUCUUUAAGCUCCAAUAAAAGUAAAGUUCU
rnacentral:lncRNA from 1 species